UGGGGAAUAUUGCGCAAUGGACGAAAGUCUGACGCAGCGACGCCGCGUGUGGGAUGACGGUCUUCGGAUUGUAAACCACUGUCGGGAGGGACGAAUACGCCGCAAGGCGGGUGACGGUACCUCCAAAGGAAGCACCGGCUAACUCCGUGCCAGCAACCGCGGUAAUACGGAGGGUGCGAGCGUUGUCCGGAAUCACUGGGCGUAAAGGGCGCGUAGGCGGCCUGAUAAGUAGGGGGUGAAAUCCUGCGGCUUAACCGCAGGACUGCCUUCUAAACUGUCGGGCUCGAGCACAGUAGAGGCAGGUGGAAUUCCCCGGUGUAGCGGUGGAAUGCGUAGAGAUCGGGAAGAACAUCAGUUGGCGAAGGCGGCCUGCUGGGCUGUUGCUGACGCUGAGGCGCGACAGCGUGGGGAGC
rnacentral:rRNA from 1 species